rnacentral:rRNA from 1 species
GGGUUGUGAGGUUAAGCGACUAAGCGUACACGGUGGAUGCCCUGGCAGUCAGAGGCGAUGAAGGACGUGCUAAUCUGCGAUAAGCGUCGGUAAGGUGAUAUGAACCGUUAUAACCGGCGAUUUCCGAAUGGGGAAACCCAGUGUGAUUCGUCACACUAUCAUUAACUGAAUCCAUAGGUUAAUGAGGCGAACCGGGGGAACUGAAACAUCUAAGUACCCCGAGGAAAAGAAAUCAACCGAGAUUCCCCCAGUAGCGGCGAGCGAACGGGGAGCAGCCCAGAGCCUGAAUCAGUGUGUGUGUUAGUGGAAGCGUCUGGAAAGGCGCGCGAUACAGGGUGACAGCCCCGUACACAAAAAUGCACAUGCUGUGAGCUCGAUGAGUAGGGCGGGACACGUGGUAUCCUGUCUGAAUAUGGGGGGACCAUCCUCCAAGGCUAAAUACUCCUGACUGACCGAUAGUGAACCAGUACCGUGAGGGAAAGGCGAAAAGAACCCCGGCGAGGGGAGUGAAAAAGAACCUGAAACCGUGUACGUACAAGCAGUGGGAGCACAGAGCAAUCUGUGUGACUGCGUACCUUUUGUAUAAUGGGUCAGCGACUUAUAUUCUGUAGCAAGGUUAACCGAAUAGGGGAGCCGAAGGGAAACCGAGUCUUAACUGGGCGUUAAGUUGCAGGGUAUAGACCCGAAACCCGGUGAUCUAGCCAUGGGCAGGUUGAAGGUUGGGUAACACUAACUGGAGGACCGAACCGACUAAUGUUGAAAAAUUAGCGGAUGACUUGUGGCUGGGGGUGAAAGGCCAAUCAAACCGGGAGAUAGCUGGUUCUCCCCGAAAGCUAUUUAGGUAGCGCCUCGUGAAUUCAUCUCCGGGGGUAGAGCACUGUUUCGGCAAGGGGGUCAUCCCGACUUACCAACCCGAUGCAAACUGCGAAUACCGGAGAAUGUUAUCACGGGAGACACACGGCGGGUGCUAACGUCCGUCGUGAAGAGGGAAACAACCCAGACCGCCAGCUAAGGUCCCAAAGUCAUGGUUAAGUGGGAAACGAUGUGGGAAGGCCCAGACAGCCAGGAUGUUGGCUUAGAAGCAGCCAUCAUUUAAAGAAAGCGUAAUAGCUCACUGGUCGAGUCGGCCUGCGCGGAAGAUGUAACGGGGCUAAACCAUGCACCGAAGCUGCGGCAGCGACACUAUGUGUUGUUGGGUAGGGGAGCGUUCUGUAAGCCUGUGAAGGUGUACUGUGAGGUAUGCUGGAGGUAUCAGAAGUGCGAAUGCUGACAUAAGUAACGAUAAAGCGGGUGAAAAGCCCGCUCGCCGGAAGACCAAGGGUUCCUGUCCAACGUUAAUCGGGGCAGGGUGAGUCGACCCCUAAGGCGAGGCCGAAAGGCGUAGUCGAUGGGAAACAGGUUAAUAUUCCUGUACUUGGUGUUACUGCGAAGGGGGGACGGAGAAGGCUAUGUUGGCCGGGCGACGGUUGUCCCGGUUUAAGCGUGUAGGCUGGUUUUCCAGGCAAAUCCGGAAAAUCAAGGCUGAGGCGUGAUGACGAGGCACUACGGUGCUGAAGCAACAAAUGCCCUGCUUCCAGGAAAAGCCUCUAAGCAUCAGGUAACAUCAAAUCGUACCCCAAACCGACACAGGUGGUCAGGUAGAGAAUACCAAGGCGCUUGAGAGAACUCGGGUGAAGGAACUAGGCAAAAUGGUGCCGUAACUUCGGGAGAAGGCACGCUGAUACGUAGGUGAAGUCCCUCGCGGAUGGAGCUGAAAUCAGUCGAAGAUACCAGCUGGCUGCAACUGUUUAUUAAAAACACAGCACUGUGCAAACACGAAAGUGGACGUAUACGGUGUGACGCCUGCCCGGUGCCGGAAGGUUAAUUGAUGGGGUCAGCGCAAGCGAAGCUCUUGAUCGAAGCCCCGGUAAACGGCGGCCGUAACUAUAACGGUCCUAAGGUAGCGAAAUUCCUUGUCGGGUAAGUUCCGACCUGCACGAAUGGCGUAAUGAUGGCCAGGCUGUCUCCACCCGAGACUCAGUGAAAUUGAACUCGCUGUGAAGAUGCAGUGUACCCGCGGCAAGACGGAAAGACCCCGUGAACCUUUACUAUAGCUUGACACUGAACAUUGAGCCUUGAUGUGUAGGAUAGGUGGGAGGCUUUGAAGUGUGGACGCCAGUCUGCAUGGAGCCGACCUUGAAAUACCACCCUUUAAUGUUUGAUGUUCUAACGUGGACCCGUGAUCCGGGUUGCGGACAGUGUCUGGUGGGUAGUUUGACUGGGGCGGUCUCCUCCUAAAGAGUAACGGAGGAGCACGAAGGUUGGCUAAUCCUGGUCGGACAUCAGGAGGUUAGUGCAAUGGCAUAAGCCAGCUUGACUGCGAGCGUGACGGCGCGAGCAGGUGCGAAAGCAGGUCAUAGUGAUCCGGUGGUUCUGAAUGGAAGGGCCAUCGCUCAACGGAUAAAAGGUACUCCGGGGAUAACAGGCUGAUACCGCCCAAGAGUUCAUAUCGACGGCGGUGUUUGGCACCUCGAUGUCGGCUCAUCACAUCCUGGGGCUGAAGUAGGUCCCAAGGGUAUGGCUGUUCGCCAUUUAAAGUGGUACGCGAGCUGGGUUUAGAACGUCGUGAGACAGUUCGGUCCCUAUCUGCCGUGGGCGCUGGAGAACUGAGGGGGGCUGCUCCUAGUACGAGAGGACCGGAGUGGACGCAUCACUGGUGUUCGGGUUGUCAUGCCAAUGGCACUGCCCGGUAGCUAAAUGCGGAAGAGAUAAGUGCUGAAAGCAUCUAAGCACGAAACUUGCCCCGAGAUGAGUUCUCCCUGACUCCUUGAGAGUCCUGAAGGAACGUUGAAGACGACGACGUUGAUAGGCCGGGUGUGUAAGCGCAGCGAUGCGUUGAGCUAACCGGUACUAAUGAACCGUGAGGCUUAACCUUACAACGCCGAAG